rnacentral:rRNA from 1 species
CCUACGGGAGGCAGCAGUGGGGAAUUUUGAACAAUGGGCGCAAGCCUGAUCCAGCAAUGCCGCGUGCAGGAUGAAGGCCUUCGGGUUGUAAACUGCUUUUGUACGGAACGAAACGGUCCUUUCUAAUACAGAGGGCUAAUGACGGUACCGUAAGAAUAAGCACCGGCUAACUACGUGCCAGCAGCCGCGGUAAU